GUGCAGAAAACUCCAUGUAAACUCCUCUGCAUUGUUAAAGGUAUCCUUCGAAUUAUUGACUUUAACAUUGAAAGUUGAAAGUCCUUUAGGGAAACCUAAAGAUUGUUUGUUAAUACUCAAUGGUCCAUAGGUUUUAUAUGGUUGACAGGUUGAUCUUCUUUUCUUGGAUAACUAGGCUCCUAGGAGACAAUUGAUAGGAUGAUUGCACGAGGGAAAGCAGGUCAAGUUUAUUGUGCAGACGGUGCAUUUGUUAACCUUUUUGCAUCCAUUGCAUCCAGCGGGCCAGUCCCCAACACACAAUUGAAAACUUUGUUCGUUUCAUCAACUGGUGCAAUCAACCAACAGCAUCUCUAGAGAACAGAAUACCAUAUAACUAGAUGUCUAGAUGAUCAAACUGAGGCCAUGAUGCUGGCACAAGGUUAUGCAAUCAUUGUACAUGGCACAUUCCAGUUUUGUAAUAAACUGUCAAUGUGCCUACAUGGCAGAAAUGUCCAUCCCACAGAACCAUG
rnacentral:lncRNA from 1 species